CAGGUUCUUCAGGUUACACCAUUUUCCGCAGUGGAUGAUCCGCCCGUUUCCUCUGUAACUGAGGUCUUUGUGUCUGUCCCACGUACUGCCGAUUGCAGCAGCAGAUAUACAGUAUUCUGUUGGUGGAGUCACAGGUUCCUGCAGUUACAGCAUUCUCCGCAGUGGAAUAUCCCCCCCGUUUCCUUUGUAACUGAGAUCCUACUGUCCGUCCCACGUGCUGCCAGUUGGAGCUGCAUCCAGCAGAUAUACAGUGUUGUGUUGGU